UAUAUAAAUUAACUUCCUAUGAGAUAUAUAAAUUAACUUCCCCACAAGUCUCUGAUAAAAACCUUUAUCCACCAUUAUAUCUUUUGGAACAUCAUGAAGUUUAUGGUUUGACUCAAUUGGUGUCCACAGGUUUACAUCCCAUCUUACUUGUUUCAGCCAAUAAGUCUAACACAUACUUUUGUUGUGAUGUAAACGUCUCUUGCUAAGAAUGAGCUACUCAAUACCAAGAAAAUACUUUAGUUUACCUAGUUCUUUAAUUUCAAACUCCUUCACCGACUGUUUCUUUAAGUCCUCCAUUCCCUUUGAGUGAUACCUGUUACUAUAUUGUAAUCCAUAUAAACCAACAAUAUUGUCACUCCCCUG
rnacentral:misc_RNA from 1 species